rnacentral:rRNA from 1 species
UACGUAGGGUGCGAGCGUUAAUCGGAAUUACUGGGCGUAAAGCGUGCGCAGGCGGUUUUGUAAGACAGAUGUGAAAUCCCCGGGCUUAACCUGGGAACUGCGCUUGAUACUGGUAAACUAGAGUUUAGUAGAGGGAAGUGGAAUUCCACGUGUAGCGGUGAAAUGCGUAGAUAUGUGGAGGAAUACCGAUGGCGAAGGCAGCCCCCUGGGUCGAUACUGACGCUCAUGCACGAAAGCGUGGGUAGCAAACAGG